rnacentral:tRNA from 1 species
GCGGGCAUAGUAUAGGGGCAAUACGCGAGCUUCCCAAGCUUGAAUCGAGGGUUCGAUUCCCUCUGCCCGCACCA